rnacentral:rRNA from 1 species
CGUAGGUGGCAAGCGUUGUCCGGAAUUAUUGGGCGUAAAGCGCGCGCAGGUGGUUCUUUAAGUCUGAUGUGAAAGCCCCCGGCUCAACCGGGGAGGGUCAUUGGAAACUGGGGAACUUGAGUGCAGAAGAGGAUAGUGGAAUUCCAAGUGUAGCGGUGAAAUGCGUAGAGAUUUGGAGGAACACCAGUGGCGAAGGCGACUGUCUGGUCUGUAACUGACACUGAGGCGCGAAAGCGUGGGGAGCAAACAGGAUUAGAUACCCUGGUAGUCCACGCCGUAAACGAUGAGUGCUAAGUGUUGGGGGGUUUCCGCCCCUCAGUGCUGCAGCUAACGCAUUAAGCACUCCGCCUGGGGAGUACGGUCGCAAGACUG